rnacentral:rRNA from 1 species
CCUACGGGUGGCUGCAGUGGGGAAUAUUGCACAAUGGGCGCAAGCCUGAUGCAGCCAUGCCGCGUGUGUGAAGAAGGCCUUCGGGUUGUAAAGCACUUUCAGCGGGGAGGAAGGCGUUAAGGUUAAUAACCUUGUCGAUUGACGUUACCCGCAGAAGAAGCACCGGCUAACUCCGUGCCAGCAGCCGCGGUAAUAUGGAGGGUGCAAGCGUUAAUCGGAAUUACUGGGCGUAAAGCGCACGCAGGCGGUCUGUCAAGUCGGAUGUGAAAUCCCCGGGCUCAACCUGGGAACUGCAUUCGAAACUGGCAGGCUAGAGUCUUGUAGAGGGGGGUAGAAUUCCAGGUGUAGCGGUGAAAUGCGUAGAGAUCUGGAGGAAUACCGGUGGCGAAGGCGGCCCCCUGGACAAAGACUGACGCUCAGGUGCGAAAGCGUGGGGAGCAAACAGGAUUAGAUACCCUGGUAGUC